AAAAAAAAUCCAAAAAAAGGUGAAAUCGAAGAAGAAGAAAAAAA
rnacentral:sRNA from 1 species